rfam:Jeotgalibaca sp. PTS2502, complete genome.
UCAUUUAAUCCGGAGAGCCUUUUAAAGGAGGCUGAGAGUGCUAGAAGCAGAUUCGUGAACCUGAUCAACUUUAUCGUUGCGUAGGAAGAUUAUAAUUUUUUACU